GAUGAGCGCUGGCGGCGUGCCUAAUACAUGCAAGUCGAGCGAACGGACGAGAAGCUUGCUUCUCUGAUGUUAGCGGCGGACGGGUGAGUAACACGUGGAUAACCUACCUAUAAGACUGGGAUAACUUCGGGAAACCGGAGCUAAUACCGGAUAAUAUUUUGAACCGCAUGGUUCAAAAGUGAAAGACGGUCUUGCUGUCACUUAUAGAUGGAUCCGCGCUGCAUUAGCUAGUUGGUAAGGUAACGGCUUACCAAGGCAACGAUGCAUAGCCGACCUGAGAGGGUGAUCGACCACACUGGAACUGAGACACGGUCCAGACUCCUACGGGAGGCAGCAGUAGGGAAUCUUCCGCAAUGGGCGAAAGCCUGACGGAGCAACGCCGCGUGAGUGAUGAAGGUCUUCGGAUCGUAAAACUCUGUUAUUAGGGAAGAACAUAUGUGUAAGUAACUGUGCACAUCUUGACGGUACCUAAUCAGAAAGCCACGGCUAACUACGUG
rnacentral:rRNA from 1 species